CUCUGUUGUCAUGGAGACCAGGGCUGGGAUCACAGAGUCUCCCACCCCCUUGUCCUCCUCUUCAGCCUGAGCCUCACGUCGGGAAAAGACCCAAUGAGAGCCGUCGCCAGCGUCUCCACGUGGGGCCGUACCACAGCCUCAAACAUGCAUCCGGGACAGGAGGAGGGGCGCACCCAAACUGCCAGACAGAACUGCCGCAGCUUCUGGGAAUCAGCACUUUCAAAAACAAAAAUUGCGUGGUUAUUUUACGAGUAGCCCCGUCAUCUCUAGGACGUUACAGGUGGUUGGGGAAGCCCUGCGUCAGGAGGUGUGCUGGAGUCAUUGACGCCUUCACCCAGAGCUCGCUGAGCCGCUGCUGUGGGCCAGGCAGGGGCAGCGCGGGCCCUGGCGUAGAGCAGCGGGCUGCACACAGCCCUGGACACGGCGACCUCCGGCAGUCGAGUUGGCACCCUGAGUCGGCCUGCGACGGGGCGUGUGAGCCGGAAAGGUUCCUCAUCUAUGAAAGGAAUUACAGUGAGGGAGAAACGGGAAGCUGUGGUCCCUGGCACCUGGAAGCCCUGCAUAAAGGCCUCUUGAACUCUGAGUGGACAGCAAGCUGGUCCAGCAGGAGGCGAAGUCAACAACAACAGCCACGGCGAAUGCUGCUCAGAGCUUGCUCCACGUCGCGCUCCUUGAAGUACAGGCUUUAUGAAAUGCUCUGAUAUCUGGAAUUGGCUGCGAAAUCGCCCCUGGGGUGGAUGAGUGAGGAGGCAGGUGGAUGACAUGAGGGUGGCUGAUGAUCAUGGAAGCGGUGUGAUAUGUUCAUGAGGCUUCAUAAUAUUCUCCUUCCUAUUUUUAGAUAUAUUUCAAAUUUCCCAUAAUACAGAGUUUUCAAUAACUGUUUCUGAUGAAGAUACAGAGACGAUUAAAU
rnacentral:lncRNA from 1 species